AUUGAACGCUGGCGGCAGGCCUAACACAUGCAAGUCGAGCGGAUGAAGGGGGCUUUCUCCUGGCUUCCGCGGGGGACGGGUGAGUAAUGCAUAGGAAUCUGCCUGGUCUUUGGGAAUAAGGUCCGGACAGGGGCGCUAAUACCGCAUCCGUUCUGAGGGAGAACGGGGGGGAUCUUCGGACAUAACCCUUCCUGCUGACCCUAGGUCGGAUUAGCUAGUUGGUUGGGUAAGGGCCUACCAAGGCGACGAUCCGUAACUGCUCUGAGAGGCUGAUCAGUCACACUGGAACUGAGACACGGUCCAGACUCCUACGGGAGGCAGCAGUGGGGAAUAUUGCACAAUGGGCGAAAGCCUGAUCCAGCCACGCCGCGUGUGUGAAGAAGGUCUUCGGAUUGUAAAGCACUUUAAGUUGGGAGGAACGGCAGUAAGUGUAAACCUGGCUGUUUUGACGGUACCAAAAGAAUAAGCACCGGCUAACUUCGUG
rnacentral:rRNA from 1 species